rnacentral:misc_RNA from 1 species
GAUGAAGAACGCAGCGAAAUGCGAUAAGUAAUGCGAAUUGCAGAAUUCCAGUGAGUCAUCGAAUCUUUGAACGCACAUUGCGCCCUUUGGUAUUCCGAAGGGCAUGCCUGUUCGAGCGUCAUUAUCACCCCUCAAGCCCUCGGCUUGGUGUUGGACGGUUUGGUGGAGGCCCCCUCGGGGGCUCCUGCCCCUCCCAAAGACAAUGACGGCGGCCUCGUUGGACCCCCGGUACACUGAGUUCUUCACGGGACACGUAUCGGACACAUGGGUUUACGGGACACGGUCUGCCUCCCCUCAGGGAGAAUCUUUCUAAGGUUGACCUCGGAUCAGGUAGGGAUACCCGCUGAACUUAAGCAUAUCAAUAGCGGAGGA